rnacentral:rRNA from 1 species
CGAAUGCUGACAUAAGUAACGAUAAAGCGGGUGAAAAGCCCGCUCGCCGGAAGACCAAGGGUUCCUGUCCAACGUUAAUCGGGGCAGGGUGAGUCGACCCCUAAGGCGAGGCCGAAAGGCGUAGUCGAUGGGAAACAGGUUAAUAUUCCUGUACUUGGUGUUACUGCGAAGGGGGGACGGAGAAGGCUAUGUUGGCCGGGCGACGGUUGUCCCGGUUUAAGCGUGUAGGCUGGUUUUCCAGGCAAAUCCGGAAAAUCAAGGCUGAGGCGUGAUGACGAGGCACUACGGUGCUGAAGCAACAAAUGCCCUGCUUCCAGGAAAAGCCUCUAAGCAUCAGGUAACAUCAAAUCGUACCCCAAACCGACACAGGUGGUCAGGUAGAGAAUACCAAGGCGCUUGAGAGAACUCGGGUGAAGGAACUAGGCAAAAUGGUGCCGUAACUUCGGGAGAAGGCACGCUGAUAUGUAGGUGAAGUCCCUCGCGGAUGGAGCUGAAAUCAGUCGAAGAUACCAGCUGGCUGCAACUGUUUAUUAAAAACACAGCACUGUGCAAACACGAAAGUGGACGUAUACGGUGUGACGCCUGCCCGGUGCCGGAAGGUUAAUUGAUGGGGUUAGCGCAAGCGAAGCUCUUGAUCGAAGCCCCGGUAAACGGCGGCCGUAACUAUAACGGUCCUAAGGUAGCGAAAUUCCUUGUCGGGUAAGUUCCGACCUGCACGAAUGGCGUAAUGAUGGCCAGGCUGUCUCCACCCGAGACUCAGUGAAAUUGAACUCGCUGUGAAGAUGCAGUGUACCCGCGGCAAGACGGAAAGACCCCGUGAACCUUUACUAUAGCUUGACACUGAACAUUGAGCCUUGAUGUGUAGGAUAGGUGGGAGGCUUUGAAGUGUGGACGCCAGUCUGCAUGGAGCCGACCUUGAAAUACCACCCUUUAAUGUUUGAUGUUCUAACGUUGACCCGUAAUCCGGGUUGCGGACAGUGUCUGGUGGGUAGUUUGACUGGGGCGGUCUCCUCCUAAAGAGUAACGGAGGAGCACGAAGGUUGGCUAAUCCUGGUCGGACAUCAGGAGGUUAGUGCAAUGGCAUAAGCCAGCUUGACUGCGAGCGUGACGGCGCGAGCAGGUGCGAAAGCAGGUCAUAGUGAUCCGGUGGUUCUGAAUGGAAGGGCCAUCGCUCAACGGAUAAAAGGUACUCCGGGGAUAACAGGCUGAUACCGCCCAAGAGUUCAUAUCGACGGCGGUGUUUGGCACCUCGAUGUCGGCUCAUCACAUCCUGGGGCUGAAGUAGGUCCCAAGGGUAUGGCUGUUCGCCAUUUAAAGUGGUACGCGAGCUGGGUUUAGAACGUCGUGAGACAGUUCGGUCCCUA